UACGAAGGGGACUAGCGUUGUACGGAUUUACUGGGCGUAAAGCGCGCGUAGGCGGAUCGCUAAGUCAGGGGUGAAAUCCCAGGGCUCAACCCUGGAACUGCCUUUGAUACUGACGAUCUGGAGAUCGGGAGAGGUUGGUGGAAUUCCGAGUGUAGAGGUGAAAUUCGUAGAUAUUCGGAGGAACACCAGAAGCGAAGGCGGCCAACUGGCCCGAUACUGACGCUGAGGAGCGAAAGCGUGGGGAGCGAACAGG
rnacentral:rRNA from 1 species